rnacentral:rRNA from 1 species
CAUAGUUUGAAGUAUUAGACCCGAAACCCGGCGAUCUAGGCAUGACCAGGAUGAAGGUGCGGUAACACGCACUGGAGGUCCGAACCGAUUAACGUUGAAAAGUUACCGGAUGAGUUGUGUUUAGGGGUGAAAGGCCAAUCAAGCCGGGAAAUAGCUGGUUCUCCGCGAAAACUAUUGAGGUAGUGCCUCGGAUGGACACCCUAGGGGGUAGAGCACUGGAUGGAUGCGGGGGUCGCGAGAUCUACCAACUCUAACCAAACUCCGAAUACCUAGGAGUGAUAUCCGGGAGACAGACGGCGGGUGCUAAGGUCCGUCGUCAAAAGGGAAACAGCCCUGACCUACAGCUAAGGUCCCCAAGUCAUCACUAAGUGGGAAAGCAUGUGGAAAUCCCAAAACAACCAGGAGGUUGGCUUAGAAGCAGCCAUCCUUUAAAGAAAGCGUAACAGCUCACUGGUCUAAACAAGGGUUUCUGCGGCGAAGAUGUAACGGGGCUAAAGUGAUGCACCGAAGCUUAGGGUGUGGAUUUAUCCACGCGGUAGCGGAGCGUUCCGUAAGCCGUUGAAGCGAUCUGGUAAUGGGUCGUGGAGGUAUCGGAAGUGCGAAUGCAGACAUGAGUAGCGAUAAAGAGGGUGAGAUGCCCUCUCGCCGAAAGACCAAGGGUUCCUGCGCAAGGCUAAUCCGCGCAGGGUGAGCCGGCCCCUAAGACGAGCCCGAAGGGGGUAGUCGAUGGGAACCACGUUAAUAUUCGUGGGCCUGGUGGUGUGUGACGGAUGGUGUGUGUUGUACGUCCUUAUCGGAUUGGACGUGCUUCGAAACUGUUCCAGGAAAUAGCCCCACCGUAUAGACCGUACCCGAAACCGACACAGGUGGUCAGGUAGAGUAUACCAAGGCGCUUGAGAGAAGUGUCCUGAAGGAACUCGGCAAAUUGCCUCCGUACCUUCGGAAGAAGGAGGCCCCAACUAGGCGCAAGCUCUGUUGGGGGGCACAGGCCAGGGGGUAGCGACUGUUUAGCAAAAACACAGGGCUCUGCUAAGUCGGCUUCAAGACGACGUAUAGGGCCUGACGCCUGCCCGGUGCCUGAAGGUUAAGUGGAGGGGUGCAAGCUCUGAAAUGAAGCCCAGGUAAACGGCGGCCGUAACUAUAACGGUCCUAAGGUAGCGAAAUUCCUUGUCGGGUAAGUUCCGACCUGCACGAAUGGCGUAACGACUUCCCCACUGUCUCCAGGACAUGCUCAGCGAAAUUGAAUUCUCCGUGAAGAUGCGGAGUACCCGCGGUUAGACGGAAAGACCCCGUGCACCUUUACUGCAGCUUCAGAGUGGCAUUAGGAAAGAACUGUGUAGCAUAGGUGGGAGGCUUUGAAGCGUCGGCGCCAGCUGACGUGGAGCCAUAGGUGAAAUACCACCCUGUUGUUUUCUGAUGUCUAACCUCGUUCCGUAAGCCGGAACAGGGACCCUCUGUGGCGGGUAGUUUGACUGGGGCGGUCGCCUCCUAAAGAGUAACGGAGGCGCGCGAUGGUGGGCUCAGGACGGUUGGAAACCGUCUGUUAGAGUGCAAUGGCAUAAGCCCGCCUGACUGCGAGACUGACAAGUCGAGCAGAGACGAAAGUCGGUCAUAGUGAUCCGGUGGUCCCUCGUGGAAGGGCCAUCGCUCAACGGAUAAAAGGUACGCCGGGGAUAACAGGCUGAUAACCCCCAAGAGCUCAUAUCGACGGGGUUGUUUGGCACCUCGAUGUCGGCUCAUCACAUCCUGGGGCUGGAGCAGGUCCCAAGGGUUUGGCUGUUCGCCAAUUAAAGUGGUACGUGAGCUGGGUUCAGAACGUCGCGAGACAGUUUGGUCCCUAUCUGCCGUGGGCGUCGAAAUUUGAGAGGAGUUGACCCUAGUACGAGAGGACCGGGUUGAACGUACCUCUGGUGUACCUGUCGUCGUGCCAACGGCGCAGCAGGGUAGCUAUGUACGGACGGGAUAACCGCUGAAAGCAUCUAAGCGGGAAGCCUCCCUCGAGAUAAGAUUUC